rnacentral:lncRNA from 1 species
UGGUCAGCACUGAUGAUCCAGGCUAUACACCUUUUUUUUUUUUUUUUUUUUUGAGACGGAGUCUUGCUCUGUCAUCCAGGCUGGAGCAUAGUGGCACGAUCUUGGCUCAUUGCAACCUCUGCCUCUUGGGUUUAAUUGAUUUUCCCGUCUCAGCCUCUUGAGUAGCUGGGAUUACAGGCGUCUGUCACCAUGCCCUGCUAAUUUUUGUAUUUUUAGUAGAGACGGGGUUUCACCAUGUUGGCCAGGCUGGUCUUGAACUCCUGACCUCAGGUGAACCGCCUGCCUCGGCCUCCCAAAAUGCUGGGAUUACAGGCGUCAGCCUCUGUGCCUGGACCCAUCUGUAUUUUUCAACCAUGAUAUUUCCAAUGCUUGGCACAGAUCCUGGCACAUCCUAGGGGGUGGAUAUAUAUUUGCUGAAUGAAUGAAUGAAUGAAACAAUUGCCAGCCUCCCAAAUGCUGGGAUUACAGGUCGUGCAUCUUCUCUUUUAGUUGUCUAUUACACAGCCUCCCCUGUCACUCCAGUCGUGGGGUCCUUCACUUCCACAGUCCCUACAGAACCCAUCCCCGGGCUGGUGCAUUGCUGAAGAAGAAAAUUAAAAGGAGCGUCUCAAGGCUAGCUUCUUGGGAGAACUCUGCAGACUCUGUCUCUGUGGCCUUGGUGGUGAGCCUCUGUGGUUGUUCCCACCCACUGCCGGUAGCCAUACCCCAACCUCUCUCUGCAGAGACCUCUCCUUCCUCCACUCUCCGUCCACCUGAGUCCUGUUUAUUAGACUUCACUCCUGGCCAAUCACACCAGCUGUGGUGGCCAAAUGAUGGUCCCCCCAAAAGAGACCCAUAUCCUAAUCUCUGGAACCACGGCCAAAAGGGACUUUGCAGUUGGGAUUAAGAAGCUUGAGAUGGGGAGGUCAUCUUGGACUAUCUGAGAUGGCCCUAAACGUAAUCACAAAAAGAAGGAGGCAGAACUGGGCGCAUUGGCUCACACCUGUGUUCCCAGCACCUUGGGAGGCCGAGGCAGGCAGAUCACUUGAGGCCAGGAGUUCGAGACCAGCCUGGCCAAUAUGGCAAAACCCCGUCUCAUCUCUAUUAAAAAUCCAAAAACUUAGCCAGGCAUGGUGGUGUGCAUCUGUAAUCCUGUAAUCCCAGCUACUCCAGAGGCUGAGGCAGGAGAAUCACUNNNNNNNNNNNNNNNNNNNNNNNNNNNNNNNNNNNNNNN